UACAGAGGGUGCGAGCGUUAAUCGGAAUUACUGGGCGUAAAGCGCGCGUAGGCGGCUUUGCAAGUCGGGUGUGAAAUCCCCAGGCUUAACCUGGGAACUGCAUUCGAGACUGCAUUGCUAGAGUAUGGGAGAGGGAAGUGGAAUUUCCGGUGUAGCGGUGAAAUGCGUAGAUAUCGGAAGGAACACCGGUGGCGAAGGCGGUUCUCUGGGACGUUACUGACACUGAGGCGCGAAAGCGUGGGGAGCGAACAGG
rnacentral:rRNA from 1 species